rnacentral:lncRNA from 1 species
GCGUCGUCUUGAAAAUUUCUAUGGGUUCACAAAUAAAAUUCCGUUUGGCCAUUAUCAAAGGAAAGUAGUAGCAUAAUGAAAACAGCAAAAUGAAAUAUGGAGCACAUGAAAAGCCAGAAGUUCAAAUACGAUGCUGCAAUCAAUGGCAGAGAAAAGAAGGGUACAAAGAUUAGAAGAACAUGACGAAAGUAAUAGGGUCUUGAUUCAUGGAACAUAAAUCGCUGAGAAGAAAAGUUGUAUGCCGCCAUGUCAUCCUCAUGCCAUUAUUUUGGCCGACCUUGCAUAGAGGCUGUCCACAACCUUCUCCAUGUUUGAUAUAGUCUCCAAAGUCGCUGGGUAGAUUGCGUCAGUCUUGGGAUCAUCAAAUAUGAUUAGGCAUCCAGCACCCUGGUCUAGAGUCCCUGCAAACUUCUUAUCCAGAAUCAUCUGAGAUAACUUCUUCUCAACUUGGUGAGAUGGCAAUUCGAUUAAUUCAGCAAUGUGGGCAAUCUCUACUCUUGAGAAUGGCUCGAUCAACCUGCAGAGAUUCUGUUCCUGUAGUGUGUUGUAGAGGGCAGAAAGGUGCCUGUGGACAAUGGGGUCUUCAUCCAACUCAUUCUUGAAAUUCUGCAGCGCAGUCUCAAAGAGCUUCAGAGAGCGCUUUGAGUGAGCAUCAGCAAUGGCUUUCAUCGCAUCUAGUUCUGGUCCUUUAUAUUGCAAACCAACCUUGGGCGAUGAUAUAAUUCCUGCCACAUCCUCAGCCUGGUUCACCAUAAUUUGCACAGAAGCAUGUACUUAAGGCCGUAAAUUGCCUGGGGGUCUCCGAGAGUGUUGAAAGCUUCAAAUGCUUCAAAGAAGUAGCUGUAUGCCGUUUUGUAGUCCUUCUCUUCUGCAUGGAGAAUUCCACUCUGCAAAUCUAUGGUGCCCUGCUGUGCUGGAGGCACAUAUACCGCAUUUGCUGCUGUUCUUGCAGCGGUAAGUGCAGCCUUGGCUUUGGGCAAGUUUCUCAAGGCGAAAUGGAGUUUGCUCUCAAGCAAGUCAAUUUCCACAAGCAGUAGCUUGUCAUCUAAUCUUCUAACCUCCUUAAUGAGACCUGAAAGAAGAUUCAGUGCUUCUGAAUAUUCCUUACUUUCCAUCAGAAGAGCUGCGAGCCGAGCCUCAAUUCGUUGUCGGAGAAAAGUUCGCUUUUCAGCCCUUGUCCAUUGCACUAUCUCCUUGCAAAGAGAGAUUUGGAGAUCAGAGGUCCCAGGAAUUUUAGCAACUGAAUCAAUAAUACCACGGACGAGCUUUGCAGUUUUUGCCUUUGGGAUCAAAGAAAAGAAAGGCCGCAAUUUAGUCAGUAGGUUCUGUAGUUCUUCUGCUCGACCAACUUCCCUCAGACGAUCUGAUAGGUCGGUAAUAGCCAAUUCUUUGAUCUUUAAGGCUUCUGAAGAAGAUGAAGGAUCUUCAAGGAUCCCAUAAAGGAUAGGGAUAGCCUCAGCCGCAGUUUUCUCUUUAGCAGCACUAAUCGAAUCCUCAGUUGCAGGAACAUGUUGGGAUGACAUAUUACCGCUUUCAGAUGGGAGGUUUCUGCCAGAUUUGAACCCAUAGUUACUAACAAAACCACCACUAAAUCUCCAAUAAUGUCAAAACUAACGAGCAGAACAAAAAAAGUAAAUGAAACUGAUCCAUAAAAUCAUUGCUCAUGAGACUUCUACUCAGAAAUUCAAAAGAGAGAAAAAAAAAAACAUAAAACCAAAAUCCGAGGCAAUAACAAUCUUGUUUAACAGGAAUCAAACAAAAACCAAAGGACAUAAAGACAAUGAAAGCAUUCUCUCACGGUUCCUCAAAUUUUCUCCAUAAAUUUCAAGAUUAAAAUUUCAGCUGAAAUUAUGAAUAGCACUGGAUACUACUGCUUCAAGCAAUUAAACUUCAAUUUCACAACUACUUCCACUCAAAUAUAUCAAUCAAGAAUAUAAAAUCUCUCAAUUUUCAAUUAAGAAUCCGUAGCACUCGCAGAAUACAAACAUAAAUAUAGAACAACACAAUAAUCACAGUCAAAAUCCAAAACGAAGGAAAAGUUACCAGUAAUUCUCAGAGCAAAUCCACGCCGGGGAAGAGAGAGAAAUUGUGAAGCUUGAAAAUUGAUUUUUCCAGAAAUGAUUCGAAAUAAUCAAAUAAAUUUAAAGCAUUUCGUGUUGAGAGGGCAACAGGCAACUCCUGAUUUUGGGCCGUGAGUGUUAAACAACAUACAUCGGCCCAUAAAAUUUUUAGGGUCUGUCUAUGCUGCGUCGAGUGCGAUUAAGGACGCUGCACAUAGGCCUUCUUAUGCUUACACCUCUGGGUGAGACGACUCCGCUGGCGCUGGACACCUCUGGCAGUGGGGACUCCUCUGGCAGCGGGGACUCGGCUCCCCUCUGGCAGUAGACUCCGCUGACCCUCGACUCCUCUGGAGUUGAACCUGCUAGCCUCGGUUCCUCUGGCCUUGACUCCUCUGGCAGAGGGGACUCGGCUCCUCUGGCAGCGGGGAAGGCGACUCCUCUGGCAGCGGGGACGUGAUCCCUCUGGCCUUGACUCCGCUGGCGUCCGAUUCCUCUGGAGCCCGAUUCUGCUGCGUUGGACUUAUAAUGUGGAGAGUUGGCCCAAUCCAUCGAAUGAAUUAAAUAAUAUGUCAAGCUUUCAUAAGUUACCAAAAAAAUCCAAUGCCUCUCCAUUUCAGCUGUCCACUUCAGCUAUAAGAGGGGGUAGUAGGGAACCAAAAUACAAAAUGCAAGUCGACGCCAAAUCUGUGCUUUUCAAAACUAAAAAGCUCGCAUCUUACCACCGACUUUGUUACUGUGGCUGUGAGUAAACAAGGACCAAGAAAUUGUUGAUCUUUUUUAGAAGAGAAAUAAUUUGUUGCUGGUUGGAUUUCUGAAUAGGGACUCAAGAGAGAGAAGUGGCAAGAAAGCUCCAUUGAUUUUGUGGAGAGAGAAAUCAAAAGGAGACGGAACAUUAAUUAAUGCGUUGAAGAGAGCAGCUUAAUUCAAACGCAAAUUGGAUGCCAACUCAUUUUCAUUUGGCAUUCACAUAGUCACAUUAUAUUACGAGAAUUUUUUUGAAACAAUAAAGCUAAGCUCGUUAGAAACUUUUCUUUAUGUGAAAAUGCAGUCAAUUCAGUGUUACAAAAUCGAUCUAAUGCUAGUUAUAAUUGGCAAUCUAUACUAUAUUAAAACAGUAGUUUUCAAUUAGAAAUUGAUUUCAAAUCAAUUUCAAUGGCAAUUUUGUGAAUAAAAGAUAAUUGAAGGUUAUAUGCAAAAAAAAAUCUGGAGAAAAACAUGUAUACAACUUAAAAACUGAUUUUAACAUCACGUUCAUUAUUUGAAAUAAUUAUUGAGUAAAUAUCUAAUAUAAAUAUAAAAUAGUUUUUAAAUUAAUGAUCGAACGGAAAUGUCCGACAUCAUUAAUAUUGCAAAUUAAUUUACCAAAUUUAUUGGAAUGUUGAAUUCCAAAAAAGAUGAGCCGUUUGAGCUAUGAUUAAUUUAUUACGGACCUAUCUAUCUAUACUAUUAUUAAGAAAGCAAUUUUUAAUUUUUAAUUGAUUUUAAAUUAAUUUUAAAAUUAAAUAAUAAUUUUGUAGUUUUAAUAAAAUUGGAGGUUUAUUUAUGAACUAUAUUUUUUAAUCUUUUUUCUUUAUCUUCUUAUUUUUUUUGUUGUACGUAUUUAUUUCUAAAAUUGUGAAAUUUGACUAAUUAUAAAAUAUUUAAUAUGCAUAUCAAAUUAAAGAUCACAAUAAAAACUUUUAAAAUUUAAAAGUUAUAUUUAUUUAAAGACUAAAAUUCUAAAAAAUUCUCUUCGUUCUCAUCUUUUUUUUAAUAAAUCUAUGUUUUAAUUAUUUUUUAUUUUCAUUUUCUUUUUUAACUUUUUUUUGUAUUUUCAUAAAAUUAAAUUUUAUAAUUGUAAAUUCUUCUUUAUUUUUUUAUUAUUCAAUUCAAAUAUAUUCAGUUAAAAUUAAUUUUUUAUUAUAUUUAUAAAUAUGGUAAUUGAGUUGAUAUCAAUUUUAUAUAAAUAUAAAAUUAUAAAAUUGUUUCCCGUGCGUUGCACGGGGUGCAAAUCCUAGUUACAUUAGUAAUUAUUAAUUUAGUAAUGUGUUGUAAGAUUAUCUAUGCUAUAAUUUUAGUAUUACUCUUAAUUUUAAGUAUCACUUUUUCUACAUAAACUUAUCUUAACAAUAUAAAAAUGGUAGAGUACAAUAAUAAUGAACUAUCAUCAACUGAAAUAUUCAAUAAUAUGAUAUUAGUUACUACAUAUUUUCUUAUAUAAAAAUAAUAUUAUUAUGUUGAAAUUAUAAUUUUUCCAACAUAUUAUUCUAGCAAUUUAUUGAAACAUUUAAUUCUAAAAUAUAUUUAUUUAAAAAAUACAUAAAUAUGCACAAUAUGUAACUAUAAGAAGCAUUGUUAUCGUGCUAAAAAGGAAAAGCAUGUGUAUGUGUUGGCCAAACGGUAGGAGGUUAAUACCUAAAGUCAAAUGUCUUAGGUUGGAGUCUCAUUGUAACGCGAUCUUUAAAUUUCUUUAUUUAAUACUGUUAAUUUAUAAAUUAAAAAAAAAACAAAAAAAACAUUGCUAUUAUAGUACAUAAGCAUAAUGGUGUACUUUAUUUUUUUGGUAAUUGUUUCAUUUUCUAAAUUUAAGGAAUUGCCAUAUUUUAAAUUAAAUUUUGAUUGAUUUAACGAAACAAUGGUCGUUUUGUCAUAUUCUAUAUUUUAAUGGGCCUUUAUUUUGUUUGUUUUUUUGACGCAUUUGUUAUGUUAUAUAUUUUAUAUUUAUAUUCAUUUUAAUAUUUCUUACCCAACUUGAAUAAUCAAACACUAUCAAAAUGGAUAGUUACAUUUAAAUACUACAUUCUUAGUAGAGAGUAACAUAGAUUUUAAUGAAAGUAGUUGAGUGUUAUGAAUAAAAAAAUAAUUUCAUCUUACGAGUAGUGUUAAUAAUGAUUAGUUAAUUAUAUAUAUGUGAGUAAGAAAGUGGUCCGUCAUGUGGUAUAAUAAUUAAAUAAAUUUAUAUAUGAAGGAUAAUAUACUGUAGGUUAGUGUGUAUAAAUGAAAAAAAAUUAUUGACGUAUCAAAAUGACGAAAAAUGAGCUAUUUUUGGGGUAGGGAUGAAUUAUGUUGUUAUUACACACAUUUUUUAGAGUGUGUUAAUGCAAUAAAUGAUAUUUGAAGCGAAUAUUAUUGUAUUCGGUUUAUAUCGGUGAAAGUGGUUGAGUGUAUUAUGAAUAGAAAAAUAAUUCUAUCUUACGAGUAGUGUUAAUAAUGAUUAGUUAAUUGUAUACAUGUGAGUAAGAAAGUGGUCCACAUGUGGUAUAAUAAUUAAAUAAAUUUAUACAUUAAGGGUAAUAUACUGUAGGUUAGUGNUGACUUGCCAAUAUUUUUAUGAUGAUGUGGAGCUUGUAUGUUUACCCUCUACUGUUGAGAUGAGACGAUCGGGUCCUGGGCAGUUGAUAGCUAUCCUGCCAGGGCUAGUGUACACUGAGGUGACUGUGAGCCGUUGAGCGAAUCGGCCGGUCACGGUGCUUGAGAAGGAGGCCUACUUCUCAGUACCUGAGUUGAGAUGAUGAUGAGUUGUAGAUGUGGUACUUACUUGCUGAGUUUUGACUGCAGUCAUUUGAGUCAUUCAUUCAUUUAUUAAUGAUGUUGAGUUUUAACUGCUUGCACAGGUUCCUUUAAGAUAUAAUUCCUGUGUAUUGCUGAAAUGUGGCAAGUUCAAUUUAUAGCUCUAUGAGCAGCUUUGUUUUUCGGCGAUAUGUCCACUGAGUAUUUAUGUACUCACGCCCUGCAUGUAUUUCUAAACGUGCAGGAUAAGCGGAGGGGAGUAUGGUACGGUGCUGGUGGGGAAUGUCUCGGGUUGACGUUUUCUUACUCUAUCGAAUGUUCGUUUGGUCGAUAGAGUUUUGAUAUAAAGUUAUGUUGUUUUAAAUCAAGCAUUUUACUCACGAUUAUAUGUCUUCAUACAUAUAGUCGGUUCACCUUUUGUUAUCACACUCUGAAUAUUAUGACUCUAUAUAAAAAUCGAGCUAUACUUGUUUUACUUUUCAUGUCGAGAUUCCUGAUAUUUAUCGAGUUAUGACGAUAUUGACGAAUAUACCCUUUUGAUGAAUUAUGAUGAUCUUUCCUUAGCACGUUUCUUUGUGAGCUUCCGCUGUUGAUCUAUGUAUUCUUUCUAUCUUUCCCCUUUCUUUUAUUAGUCGUAUCGAUACUCGAUCCCCGCUAUUACUAGUGUCGGGAUCGGGCUGCGACAUCUUGAUUCAUGGAACAUAAAUCGCUAAGAAGAAAAGUUGUAUGCCGCCAUGUCAUCCUCAUGCCAUUAUUUUGGCCGACCUUGCAUAGAGGCUGUCCACAACCUUCUCCAUGUUUGAUAUAGUCUCCAAAGUCGCUGGGUAGAUUGCGUCAGUCUUGGGAUCAUCAAAUAUGAUUAGGCAUCCAGCACCCUGGUCUAGAGUCCCUGCAAACUUCUUAUCCAGAAUCAUCUGAGAUAACUUCUUCUCAACUUGGUGAGAUGGCAAUUCGAUUAAUUCAGCAAUGUGGGCAAUCUCU